CGAUGUUGCAGCCCUGGCAUAUUUGGGCCUCUUCUGGCUGCCCUGGGCCUGGCCUCUCUGUGUCUGGACCUGAGUGCAGUCAGGUCCCCACAGCCUUCAAGUCUUAAAGACACACAGACCACAAAAGAAAACUUCAUUUUCCCCGGAGGACCAAGACACUGGAAACCUGGCCAGGAGCUGCCCCCAACCCUCAGCUGAAGCUUCCAGGGGCUCCAUAACAUCCCAUCCCAACCCUGGAAAGAGCCAGAGGUGAUGGAACUCCAUCUCCCCAUCCCCCACCUGUCCUACAGGCUUCAGACUAUCCUCAAAAAGUUCGGGUAAGGCAGCGCUGAAGGGAAGUUCCAGGGACCUUGCUUUCUCCACUCCAGUCCCCAAUAUUCAGUCAACAUCUCUUGGCUGGCUGGGGCUGAUUAUUAUAAAGUACAACCUUUGUGAGAGGGAAGACUGACGUUCAAAGAAGUGAAGCAACUCACCCAGCGAAUAAGUGAGUAGAACAAGGGCUAACACCCAAGUCUU
rnacentral:lncRNA from 1 species